GUGGCUCAGACGGUAAAGCAUCUGCCUGCAAUGCAGGAGACCCGGGUUCGAUUCCUGGC
rnacentral:tRNA from 1 species